GUACUUGCUUCGGCAGCACAUAUACUAAAAUUGUAAUGAUACAGAGUAUUACCAUGGCCCCUUCGCAAGGAUAACAUGCAAAUUCGUGAAGCGUUCCAUAUUUUA